rnacentral:rRNA from 1 species
GAGCGAGUGGCGAACGGGUGAGUAGCACGUGAGCAACCUGCCCCGAAGACUGGGACAACACCGGGAAACCGGUGCUAAUACCGGAUAUCCCUGUCGGACCGCAUGAUCCGACAAGGAAAUGUUUUUUCGCUCCAGGAGGAGCCCGCGGCUGAUUAGCUAGUUGGUGAGGUAAUGGCUCACCAAGGCUACGAUCAGUAUCCGGUCUGAGAGGACGGUCGGACACACUGGAACUGAGACACGGUCCAGACUCCUACGGGAGGCAGCAGUGGGGAAUUUUUGGCAAUGGGGGAAACCCUGACCAAGCAACGCCGCGUGGGUGAUGAAGUCUCUUGGGACGUAAAACCCUUUCGACGGGGAAGAAACCGCAAGGUUGACGGUACCCGUAGAAGAAGCCCCGGCUAACUCCGUG